rnacentral:lncRNA from 1 species
AUUGCAAAUUUAUAAUUUAAUAUUGCUAGUCAAAUGCCUAAUGUCAUAAUGUCUAAGAAUGUAUAUUAUAUAGGUACAUUGAUGUAUAUGAUAAUGUUAAAAAUUAAAAAUAAAUUGCCAUCAGUAUUAAAUAAUUAAAUAAAAAUGGAGGAGAGAGCAAUGCUAUGGAUGCUUUCUCUUGUUAUGUUUGUUGGAUCUUGUCUUGGAGCUGGAUCACUGCCAUUAAGUUAAAUAAAUUUAUCAGAAGAAGUAAGAUAUAGAAGUGAAGAAGAAUAUUUUAUGUAAUAUAAAAUUAUGACAAGUUACAAUUAGUUUCAAUAUUAGGAGCAGGACUCCUUGUUGGUACUGCGCUAGCGAUUAUACCUGACUGUACCUGAGGGUGUAAGAGCAUUAUUUACUGUGGAUGGUAUUAAAUAAUGAAAAAGGCAAUUUACAUACUUUAACUUGGAAUUAGUUUAGUACUUGGUUUAUGCUUUUAAUUGAUCAAUGUUCAGCCAGAAAAAGUGGAGGAAGACAAGAAAAGUAUUACAGCAACUUUAGGUCUUAUAGUAGAUGCUGCUAGUUGAUUGGCGGUGUUGCAUUGGGAGCUGCUGCUACUACAUCUCAAGCUGAUGUCGAAGUGUCUUAGUUUUUCUUCGCAAUAAUGUUACACAAGGCGCCAGAUGCAUUUGGACUUGUGUCAAUUUCUUCUUCAUGAAGGUGUAGAUAGAAAGUAAGAAAAUAAGCAGACACUUAUUAAUUUUCUCUCUUGCGGCACCGUGUCUUGCACUUGUGACAUAUUUUGGAAUUGGAAAAGUAAUGACAUUCAGGACUGCCGCGCAAGACUGCACGCGCCAAUCAGGCGCGAGAACGGACGCGGACGCGCGAAGACUCCCAAUCAGGAGCGAGGACUGCCGUGCGUGCGCGAAGACGUCCAAUCAGGCGCGAGAACUGCCGCGCACGCCGCCAAGACUCCCAAUCAGGCGCGAGGACUGCCGCGGACGCGCGAAGACUGCCAAUCAGGAGCGAGGACUGCCGCGCACGCCGCCAUAACUGCC